ensembl:lncRNA
UGUGUGUGUGUGUGUGUGUGUGUGUGUGUGGUGAAGGACGAGGGGCAGUUCCUCAGGGGAACCCAUUGCCCAAGCUGAGUAAUAUGCAUCCCUGACAAAGAGCUGUGGAGCUACAGUAAUUGCAGAGCACAUAGUGCACAGGGAGGGAGGGUGAAAGGGAGAGAAAAGGAGGCCAGAGUGUUUGAUCAAAGUUUACCAAAGUCUGAGGGAGAUUUGCAUACAGAUGGUACUGUAGCCCGGCCCCCGGAAUACCUUUCCCUCUCUUUAUUUCUCUUUCUUCAACUCUCUCUCUCUCUCUCUCUCUGACACACACACACACAAAUGUAAUAGGGUUUCAUUGAAGAAUCCAUGAAUAGCCUAUUUAAGAGAAUGUUCUGAGGAAGAAACGGCCUUGGCUGCACAACACAGCACCUUCGAAAAAGAAAGAAAAAACAAGGAGACAGAAGAAGAGAAAAAAGCAGAGAUAACAUAUUUUAGAAAGGCAGUGAUACAAAAUACUGUGGUAACAGUGGGAAGAAGCGUUAUUUAUUAAAAACAGAUCCAGCUAAUAAAGUUCACCUUCCUGUUGGCAUUAUAGAAACACUCCACGUAUGUGUGCUGACAUCCAUUCACUCCCUUCGGUCGACCUUUAGCUCGGCCUUUCCUCGGUCCAUGUUGAUUUUGAGUGCCCUUGUUGAACAGAAGUGCGGUCUUCUUAUGUAAGUCAUAUGUCACUGUGAAGCUGUUGUUCUGAGGCGAGCUUUUUGGCCACGUGACCGCUGUGCCAAGCGUCGUCGGCCACGUGCCUGUCGGAGCCCGAACUCCUGCGCAACACGACAUCGAGCCGUUGAGGCCACGCUGCAGGUCCCAAACCAGCCCCGACUCGCCGCCGAGCCCCCGUGUGACAGUAUAUCAGGGUUUAAUGUUUGCAUAUCAACAGCCACCUCACUCACCGCGUUACACACCUCGCGUUUUAAAGAAGCACAGCUGUUAGUGAGUCACUCGCGGAGCACUUUUCAAAACCGUUACAAAGGGCUUUAUAGAGGACGGAGAGAGAGAGAGACAAGGUGAUUCAACGUGGGCACGAAGCGCAACGAAGGGUAUUCUUCACAAACAUCUAAAUGAAAAGGGCAAAGGAGACGAGUGAGGUUGAGCCUGAGAGAGAUGAAAAGAGAUCGGAGAACAGGAUGAAUGUUCCAACGUACAGAAAGGUCGUCCUCGCCGGAUUCACACCGGGGAUGGAAAUUUUCAUGGUCAGGACAUUAAGUCCCCCACGGCACCAGCCAUAUAUGUAUAUAUAAUAUGUAUGUACAUAUACAUAUUCAAUGGAACCACUUUCUAUGGAGAAAAGAAAAGCUAUUGACGUCACAUUCUUCGGGGUAGCCCAGACACCGUUCCAGAAAUAAAACCCCGCCGUCGAGUUUUUACAAUCUCAUUUUUCAAUUCUCUGCAAAGAAAAAAAUCACUUUCGUUAUCAAGGUUGCAGCUGAAGGCCCAGAUGGGGAUAUCUAAAAACAUGAGCAAAUAAAACCAAAUCCAUCGGCACACUUUACCUGUUUUAUUUUGACAAGGAAGGAAAACAUACUCACCCAGACUGAACCUGUAACCUUCUAACCACAUGUUGAUUUUCGCCUUUUGCGACUAACUCAGUGGGUACCGCUGUCCGCCUUUCAUCACUGCCCUACGUUGUCAUAUUGAUUUAUCGUUGCAUAUGGGUGGGCUAUGAGAUAAAGCCUUUAUUGUAAUCAUUACAAAAGAGCCGGCCUACUCUAAAUAUUGGGAUCCACAAUUACAGCACGACUUAUUAUUGUAAGAGCCACACAUCACAGAAAACACAUACGUAGCCUCGAUGUUCAAAUGACCACUUCUCUCAAAGCAAGAGCGCGUCUCUCUGUUUGUGCACAAUUGCGUUUUUUUUUCGUGAUAGUUUUGUGUGUGUGUGUGUGCGUGUGUGUGCAAGUGCACAUCCACCGCCGCCUCCGUUUGUUUAUGUGUGUUCAUGCAUAAGUGCUUGUGUAUGUGUGUACUUGUAUUUAUUUGGAGUAAUCACCGGGGCGCUUCUGUGUUUGUACAUCUGUAGCGAGAUUGAUUCAUGGCUGCUCCUCCAGAGGAAACAGAUAACAAAUGGUUUUCUGGUCCAAUAAACACCGCCUGCACGUAAACCAAAUUAGACUAAACUAAACCAUCCUGCGCCCCGGACCUUCGGCACAAGGCCGAAUGGCUGGCCUGUGCUACGGGAAAAAAAAACCUCAGUGAGAGACAGAUUGAUUGUGGGCUAAUUGUGGAGUGCCGGUGUGACCUCGGGCCUGCGCGGGCCUCCCAGACUCCUCGGCGGUUCAUGCUUCCUAUCAAUGACUUUCUGGUUGAAUGGGGCCAUGUUUGGCUGCUGCUGCGUUUUUUUGAAAAACCAAAUGUUGCCAGAAGUUCGCCUUACAAGUUUAGAAAAAAGGGCGAAAAAGAAGGCGAAAAUAUGCGCUCACGUAUGUCUGAGAUCUGAACAAUUUCUAUGCUCCGUGGUGACGCAAUGGUUGAUUUGAUUUGAUUUGUUUAUUUCGGGUCGACUGGGGGCUGAAUCAGUGCAGCGUUUGAUCAUGGGAGAGCUUGGAUGUGUCUGACCCUUGACCCUUUAUGUCUGUUGAUGGGGGGGGGGGGGGGGGGUGACUGGUGGGUGGCUGGUGGAAUUUUUUAAGCUCUGAUUUGUAUAGUAUACACAAAAAUGAUGUAGAUAAUAUAAUUUGAUAGCUUGAGUGAGUAAAAAUGACAUUAAACAUCCUUUCCAAGGGAAGGAAACAUCAAAAUUCAUAGUUUUUCUGCAGUGGUUUUAUUUAACAUGUAAUGGAUUUUGUUUACGUAUCUCCUUAUGUCAAAGUUUUACGACCAUAGGAUGUGUUUUAAUACAUAAACAAUAUGUUGUUCAACAAUAGCAGCCCGGUCAGUCCAUUCAUCCAGUCUCCGAUGACAGUGUGCACUGCAAAUCCCUGGUUGCAUUCCCACGGGGGGGUUUGCACGGGGCCUGGAUCGGGGCGAGAGCAGGAUGUAUAAUGCAGUUGUGGAGGCAAGGUCGAGGCGCAUUUUUGCCUGUUCAGCAGGAGCCCUCCUCCACACCCCAACUGAGGGAAAAACCCACACGACAUGUGCUGCUGUUCUCUUCUGAGGCUUUGCAGAGGACUUACAGUUUCAGAGCAGGGAUCAGUUCUGUGAGAUACACACCUGUGACAGCAUAUGAAUGUUCAGGAUUGGACCUGUACGCCGCAAUUAAUGCCUUCACCGCUCCUACACUCGCGUCCCUGAGAGCCUGUUGAUUUCUUUCUUUGCGUUUUUUCCUUCUCGUUUGCUUGAUGAAGAUGCAAAACGUGAUUUCCGAUUUCGUAACAAUUCAUAGCUGUUAUCAACUAUAUGACUUAUUUAGCAAAUUUGAAAUAGCUUUUAAACCGCCUGUUUUAAAUCGAGGCAACGGCGCCAAGCAUGUAAACAAAACAACCACAAAAAAAAGCCACUCUUUGAGGCGCAGGGCCUUGAGAGGGCACAUAAAAAGGUUACCAACUCUCCGGGGCGACCUCGCUCCUCGACAGUUAUCUGUCGGUUUGAUGGCGAGCCGGAGGGCGACGGGGCAGAGGACGUGUCCGGGCGGGGCGGCAGAAUCCUCAGCAGGAGCCUCGCUGACACAUGUGGGACAGCGCUCAGUGGAAAUCGGGUUAAUGAAUCGUGUGGAGGGGGGGGGGGGGGGGCGGCAGGGCGACUCGUCUUUCAGUUUUCCCCCCCGUCAUUAUCAGUCGGACCGGCGCUCAUGUGCACGCCCGCCGGGGGGGAGGCGGAGACAGGGAGGUCAGUAGGUGGUACAUCCGUGAAGACCUAUGAAAAGGAUGUCAGACAAUAGAUCAUGUCUGCAAGACAAAGAAACCGCCAUUGACGUGUCACAGCGAAUUUCUCGUGGAAAUAAAAGAUGGUUCUGUCUGUUUUUGACGUGAGUGCUCAUGUAUGUGAUGUACCGUCAAUGUGACCGUUGGGUCCAAUAUACAACGGCAAAUCUUUGUGUAUCCUUCUGAUGACUUUUCGGUCUCUGACCCAGUUCCAUUACAGGCGUGUCCUGCCUGGCUGUCACUUCUGUCUGAUGGGAUCGGCGAGCUUCACACAGAACCACCAGUCUCCAUUUUAAUAGCACCAGCCUUUCUGCAGCCCCCCGACACAGAUGCAAAUCACCGCCUCGUAUUAGACACCACGUCUACUCUCCCAUCUCCCUGCAGUGGUUACUGUUCCUGAAGGAUGUGUGCCGACAAGUCGACCCUGACGAAAUUAAGCUUUUAAUUACUGACGUAAAUUAGGACGAAAGACGCCGAAUCCAUCCUCAUCACACAAACAAUUUGCCCAUCUGAGAGGAUUGAAAUAUAUUAGCAUAUUUAAUUGGUGGCUUAUGUCCAUCUCUCUUGUGCUUGACAGCUGUUGAGUCAGACGACAGCAUUGUGCAAAUAUGAGUCAGUGCGCACUAAUCUGAUCAGGGAGACCGUGGCUGCGGAUUGAGUUAGCAUUUUGGGACAUCCGUCAGCACGCUCUCAGGAUUACGCACAAGGUUAAAUUUGGAAGAAUUAGAUUCUGAGGGGACAAUGGCGUUACCGUUUGUGAGGGUACGGUAAUGUUAUUCACAGGCUGAUGUGAACGAAGGCCGAAAGAACGGCCCACAAGGGCCGAGGCCUCGUAAGCACUUCCCAGUGUCCUCUAGUAUGACCUUAAAGAACAUUGAUUUUUCAGGAUUUUUUAAGUUGCACUGCACGGAAAAUGACCUGCUUAUUGACGCGUUUAAAGACCCGGCACAGCAGAAAAUGGCACAGCGAAAUUGAUCCGCGGACCUUUUUGAAAAACAGUGCUAAAGGUGCCGUAGUUACCACACAGAGUUCCUCGGUGAACGAACGGCUACUUCACCAGCAAGCUGGAAACAUGGUCGCGCAAGUCUCCAGAAUCUUUAUAUUUGUCAGUUCCCCGACCUCCAUGGGAAAGAUUUGAGCGGAUCCACUCGUCAUGGAAAUUCUAUUGAUAUUAAUUAUUUUUUCCAGGAAAAGCUCCUUGUUUUAAUCCCUGAGCCUGAGAGCUAAAACUACCCUUCACAGAAGGACACAUGCUGUACCAACAUGGCACGGGCGCACAGCCGGCGGAGGAAGCUAGAACGGCCCGGCAGUUGGAACAGCUGCACUGAUAAAAAUCAUAGCCGCUCAGACGCCGAUAUGACGACAGGAAGAUUUACCACAGGAAACGUAUUAUUCACAUAUUUCCUCUUUUGUUGCCCUCAUUCUUUUGUUUAAAACAUUCAGAGUGAUUAAUUGGCAAUUAUCGAGCUAUUCCUGGCCCGCCAUCACAUUCUCUCUCUCUGUACAUCUCACACACACACACACACACACACCCACACCGUUAAAUAAGACACACACCCAUACACGGACACGUUCGAGUGAGCGAGCGCCGGGCAUGCCAUUGAUGCUCCACUCUGGCUUCAUCCAUCACUGAUAAUAGCUGAGGACAGCUGUGUGUUCAGCCCCCCCCUUCUCUCUCUAUCAUACCGCUGGCUUGAGGCGGGCGGAUGGAGGAGAGGAGGGCUGUAUUUGUUCUGCCUUGCCUCCGAACACACACACACACACACACACACACACACACACACACACACACACACACACACACACACACACACACAAUUC